GAUGAACGCUAGCGGCAGGCCUAAUACAUGCAAGUCGAACGAGAUUGGAGGAGCUUGCUCUUCCAUGAAAGUGGCGCACGGGUGCGGAACGCGUAUGCAACCUACCUUCUUCAGGGGGAUAGCCUCUCGAAAGAGAGAUUAACACCACAUAACAUUAUUGAGUGGCAUCAUUGAAUAAUCAAAUAUUUAUAGGAAGAAGAUGGGCAUGCGUGAGAUUAGUUAGUUGGUGAGGUAACGGCUCACCAAGAAUACGAUGUCUAGGGGAUCGGAGAGGAUGACCCCCCACACUGGUACGAAGACACGGACACGACUCCGACGGGAGGCAGCAGUAGGGAAUAUUGGUCAAUGGGGGCAACCCUGACCCAGCCAUGCCGCGUGAAGGAUUAAGGCCCUAUGGGUCGUAAACUGCUUUUGUACGGGAAGAAAUCACACUACGUGUAGUGUGUUGACGGUACCGUAAGAAUAAGGAUCGGCUAACUUCGUGCCAGCAGCCGCCGUAACAC
rnacentral:rRNA from 1 species